GGAUCAUUGUCGCCGCUCGCCCAAGCAGAACAACUCGCGAACACGUAAUCGCAACCGACGAACCUAGGGGCCGCGGCCUUCGGCAGGCGCCCUCUGUUCCCAACGCCGAGGCACGCCCUGUAACAUCGCAGCCCGUCGACGCUCGUCGUCCGAGUUGCGUUUGCACGGCCUGACUCGGCACAAACAAAAACCCGGCGCGAAAUGCGCCAAGGAAAUUAAAAGAACGUGCAUCCGUCCCGUGUUGUGCUUGCACAAUACUCCGGAACGGUGUUAUCUUCUUGAUGUCUAUAAUGACUCUCGGCAACGGAUAUCUCGGCUCUUACAUCGAUGAAGAACGUAGCGAAAUGCGAUACUUGGUGUGAAUUGCAGAAUCCCGUGAACCAUCGAGUCUUUGAACGCAAGUUGCGCCCGAAUCCAUCCGGUCGAGGGCACGUCUGCCUGGGCGUCACGUACACGCGGCUCCGCCGACUCUCUCCUUUAAGGUUUGACGGGACACGGGCGAGCAGAGAUUGGUCUCCCGUGCUCUUAAAUUGCGCGGUUAACCCAAAUGCGAGUGCCGGCGGUGAAGUUUCACGCCAAGUGGUGGUUCAUAAACCUUCUAGGUUUCGCCAGUCUGAACCGUGAAAGCCCAUCGCUCGGAAAGCUCGAUAGACACCUCGAACGUCUAAUCUGACGCUACGUCGCGACCCCA
rnacentral:misc_RNA from 1 species